UGCGAGUAUUAUAUGAUGC
rnacentral:miRNA from 1 species